CAGGCCCCAGCAGCCCUCUGGGUCCUGGUGUCUCUCCUCCUGGUCUGGCUGCUGCACCAUGUCCUCCCUGGUUCUGAGGCCUCUGGCUUCUUGGACUGAGUCACACGAUUGGCUUCUCUGACUUUCCAGCAGCAGCAGCCAAUGUGGAAACAUGCAGCCUCUGUGUUCACGGGAGUCCGUCGCAUAUCUGAACCUGUGUUUCCAUCUGUCUCCUGUCCACUUCCUCUACAGAAGCCUAAUGCCAAAGUGACCUGCAUCAGGUCAUAGUAUGUGGGCAGACGUGACCUGAUCUAUGGGAAGAAGCUGUAAGAGGCCUGGGGGAUUCCGCCACGUCCUCCUCUUCCUCUGUGUUGGAAGGGUGGGCUCCUCUCACGCGGGGGCCUUUUCCUCAGCCACCCUCCCAGAAUGAUGACGCACCUGGGGCAAACACAGCUGGGUCGGAGCCACACACCUUGAGGUCAGCAGUGAAGAGACCCAGGUGUUGUCCACAGGAAAACACUCUGACUUGGAGUGUGGUUUCUUUUCUGCAGGUGACAACAACAUACUGGCCAGCCUUCUCUUGCAGAUGGAGAUUAAAUAAUUUGCUUCCCCUGUGACAGUGGAAGAUAUUGCAGACACCAAGCUCUAUAACUGAACACUGAUGAAGAGAAGAAAAGCUUCUGCUCAGUCACAAAACAAUGAAUUCAAAACUCACAUUCUUAAAUAAAGAAGACACGGACAGUAGGUACAAAGCAAUGAUGAACUGCAAGAGAAAACUGUGAUCCCAGCCUCUCCUCCUGGAUAAAACUAUGCAAAUGACCUUCAUUGUCAAGUGUGACAUUUUUCCAUCAAAAGAGUACACACAACACACGGCAAUGUUUUUAGUACAAACUAAUCACAAAUAAUUUUGUGUAAUCUGUAUCCUGAGAAGAAAUUAUUCUUCAGAAAUUCAUCUUGUCCCCUAUGAAAUAAAUGGGAAUUUCCACCCUUUCCAAUCCA